rnacentral:rRNA from 1 species
GAGUUUGAUCUUGGCUCAGAUUGAACGCUGGCGGCAGGCCUAACACAUGCAAGUCGAGCGGUAGAGAGAAGCUUGCUUCUCUUGAGAGCGGCGGACGGGUGAGUAAUGCCUAGGAAUCUGCCUGGUAGUGGGGGAUAACGCUCGGAAACGGACGCUAAUACCGCAUACGUCCUACGGGAGAAAGCAGGGGACCUUCGGGCCUUGCGCUAUCAGAUGAGCCUAGGUCGGAUUAGCUAGUUGGUGAGGUAAUGGCUCACCAAGGCGACGAUCCGUAACUGGUCUGAGAGGAUGAUCAGUCACACUGGAACUGAGACACGGUCCAGACUCCUACGGAGGCAGCAGUGGGGAAUAUUGGACAAUGGGCGAAAGCCUGAUCCAGCCAUGCCGCGUGUGUGAAGAAGGUCUUCGGAUUGUAAAGCACUUUAAGUUGGGAGGAAGGGCAGUAAAUUAAUACUUUGCUGUUUGACGUUACGACAGAAUAAGCACCGGCUAACUACUGUGCCAGCAG